UUUUCUUCAUAAGGUUCGUUUAGAGGUUACCUGCGAGAUGAAUAAGAGGAAAAUCUUAUCAGGAGCAGAGUACAGAAAGAUCUCAUUGAACAUGAAGAACAAUAGCCUAGUGCUGUAGCAAUCACAGGGGAAGAGGGGAGAAAGACUGGCCCAACUGGUGGAACAAGAGAAGCCUCCAAUUUAGUUGGGAGAUACCACAGAAGAGAUCUGGGGCCAGAAGAAGAGGCCAAACCAAAUCUCUUCAAAAAGAGCUGGAAUAUACUAAGAGACACAGGUUGUUCAGACCUCUGAAGCAAAUGCUGAAUGCCGCACAGGAAACAAAGGCCAAGAAAGAGACCACAAUGCCUUUAAACAAGAAUGAGCGAGAUUAUAUUCUUGAAUGGUGAAAGCAGGACGUAGUGAAAGCAGAUAUUAAAGAAAGGAGAAGUCCAAAAAACGAUGAGUAGUUGGAACUAAAAACGCUGAUCGGAAGAUAAAAAAAGAAAAAAUGGGCUGAACAAGAGAUCAAGAAGAAUGAGAUUUUAAAAUGUGGUGCUUUACCAGAUGAUUGUUUUAUAUCUGUUUUAAAUAGUAUGGACAAACCCCUCAUGUAAGAGACAUUAGUUCAUAGAAAGGCUGUGUAGCGGGAAAGGGGGGUGAAGGAUAAUGGUAUCUAUUAAUUCGUGUACGUAUAACACUAACUUACUAACAAACAGAUUUGACUAAUAAUCUUCUAAAAUUCAUUUGGUAAUAAAUACAACGAAACCACAGUUUUCUUUAAAAAGGAGCAAGUUGCCAGGAACAAUCAAGAAGAACUUAAGAAAUGCCAUUUCCUAAUGGAUUCCAUCACAAAAACAUGGGAAAAGUUUCUCAAACCCAAAAACUUGGUUUCUGCGGGAGGGACAUCCUGCUGUAGCACAUUUUGCUCUGGUUUUUCAAUAAAUUCCUCAUCACCAGGUCUCAACCAAUUCAAUUCUCACUCCUUUGUGGCAGCCACAAAACCAAGUUUCCGGAGUAGAGCAACUCCUUUCCAAGUAAGGAAUGCACAAUAAAACAGGAAACAAUACUUUCAAACCA